rnacentral:rRNA from 1 species
UACGUAGGGUGCAAGCGUUGAUCCGGAAUUGUUGGGCGUAAAGAGCUUGUAGGCGGUUUGUCGCGUCUGCUGUGAAAUUUCGGGGCUCAACCCCGAACUUGCAGUGGGUACGGGGCAGACUAGAGUGUGGUAGGGGAGACUGGAAUUCCUGGUGUAGCGGUGAAAUGCGCAGAUAUCAGGAGGAACACCGAUGGCGAAGGCAGGUCUCUGGGCCACUACUGACGCUGAGAAGCGAAAGCUGGGGAGCGAACAGG